GAAACAAACUUGCAAGACGUUUUCGUUUUUCGUCUUGCGAAGCAAGUCCAUAGGGAAAUUCGUCUUGCGAAGCAACUCAAAAAACGAAAAACUCUUUCGUCUUGCGAGGCAUUCGUCUUGCGAGGUACCACUGUAUAAUACAAAUGCCAUCAGCUCAGAUAUAUAUAUAAACAAGAUGAGCAAUGAACUAAAGAGCACUCCGAAAGAUUUAAUGUGUUUGCCUUCUCAAUUGCUUUUGGGUCAGAUAUGGUGGGGUUUGUGCUCAUAAUGACCAGGGUGUGAAAUCCAUGGAACACGCUCUUUUAUUUUAUAAUUUUUACACUGGAACGUGUCAGAAAAUGAUACCCAAACUACCAGGAAGGUUAGCUCAAUGUUACAAUAAAAUACUUGCUGGGAGAUAAAAUCCCAUUGGUAGUGGCCACAUUUUUUAUCAGGGGGCUUUGAGAACAAGGAGGUAAUCAACCAUCAGAAGGCAAACACAUUAAAUCUGUCCAGAGUAAAAGCCCUUUGAUAUUUAACUACCUACAAUAUAAUUCAAAUUAUUCGUAAAAC